rnacentral:pre_miRNA from 1 species
UCUAGAACUCGAGAUAUGGGCUGAACACUGAACAGUGUCUGGGCUGCAGGACAGAUUCUGACUUCUCGUUUGUUGCUAUAAUUUGCACUUGAACACGACCGUUUUGAAUCUUGGACUCUGCAUGAAAGUUUUAGGCCUAUGUUUUAGCUUUCCAUC